rnacentral:rRNA from 1 species
GCCACUCAUUAAAAGAGUGCGUAAUAGCUCACUGGUCGAGUGGCUCUGCGCCGAAAAUUCAACGGGGCUAAAAUCUAUACCGAAGCUUGGGCUUGACAGUAAUGUCAGGGGUAGGGGAGCGUUGUGUAAGAGGAGAAGUCAUAGCGGAAGCGGUGGUGGAUUUUACACAAGUGAGAAUGCCGGAAUGAGUAGCGAGAAUUAUGUGAGAAUCAUAAUGGCCGAAAGUCUAAGGUUUCAGAAGGAAGGUUCGUCCGCUUCUGGUAAGCCGGGAGCUAAGGUAAGGCCGAAAGGCGUAGCCGAUGCACAUACGGUAGAAAUUCCGUAGCCUCCAUCCAUUUAAGCACAGGGACACUUUUGAAGGGUUUAGCCGGGCGUUGGUUGCCCCGGUCGUAAGGGACUGCAAAUGAGCGGGAAGUAAACUUGGAAGAAGACGAGAAAAGCUGUGUGUAUAGAAGAUGGAGCCCGUACCGCAAACCGACACAGGUAGACAGGAAGAAGAUUCUAAGGCCAACGGGAGAAGGGUUGUUAAGGAACUCGGCAAGUUGACCCCGUAACUUCGGAAGAAGGGGUGCUCACGCAAGUGAGCCGCAGAGAAUAGGUCCAGGCGACUGUUUAGCAAAAACACAGCUCUAUGCUAAAUCGAAAGAUGAUGUAUAUGGGGUGACACCUGCCCGGUGCCGGAAGGUUAAGAGGAGGAGUGAGAGCUCUGAAUUGAAGCCCCGGUAAACGGCGGCCGUAACUAUAACGGUCCUAAGGUAGCGAAAUUCCUUGUCAGGUAAGUUCUGACCCGCACGAAUGGCGUAACGAUCUGGGCACUGUCUCAACAGCCCGCCCGGCGAAAUUGUAGUACCGGUGAAGAUGCCGGUUACCCGCGACUAGACGGAAAGACCCCAUGGAGCUUCACUGUAGCUUAAUAUUGAAUUUCGGUAUUUCAUGUACAGGAUAGGUGGGAGACUGGGAAGUACGGGCGUCAGCUUGUAUGGAGUCAACCUUGGGAUACCACUCUUGAGGUGCUGGAAUUCUAACCUGUGGCUCUGAAUCGAGUCAGGGGACAUUGUUAGGUGGGCAGUUUGACUGGGGCGGUCGCCUCCUAAAAGGUAACGGAGGCGCUCAAAGGUUCUCUCAGCACGGAUGGAAACCAUGCUUUUGAGUGUAAACGCAUAAGGGAGCUUAACUGCGAGACUGACGGGUCGAGCAGUAACGAAAGUUGGAGUUAGUGAUCCGGCGGUAUGUGAGUGGAAAUGCCGUCGCUCAACGGAUAAAAGCUACCCUGGGGAUAACAGGCUGAUCUCCCCCAAGAGUCCACAUCGACGGGGAGGUUUGGCACCUCGAUGUCGGCUCAUCGCAUCCUGGGGCUGAAUUCGGUCCCAAGGGUUUGGCUGUUCGCCAAUUAAAGCGGUACGCGAGCUGGGUUCAGAACGU